GACGUAGGGGGCGAGCGUUGUCCGGAUUUAUUGGGCGUAAAGAGCGUGUAGGCGGCCAGAUAGGUCUGCUGUGAAAACUCGAGGCUCAACCUCGAGAUGUCGGCGGAAACCAUUUGGCUAGAGUCCGGAAGAGGAAAGUGGAAUUCCUGGUGUAGCGGUGAAAUGCGCAGAUAUCAGGAAGAACACCCGUGGCGAAGGCGGCUUUCUGGGACGGUACUGACGCUGGGACGCGAAAGCGUGGGGAGCGAACAGG
rnacentral:rRNA from 1 species